CUCUCUGGCGUCCCUUCCUCCACCACCAUAACCACCGUCACCAACACCCACCUGUCACCACACCCUACCUGCAACCACCAACACCACCAUCCACCCGCCAACACCCCCACCUAUUCCCAACAACUCAAUCCAAUCAUCUCCAACAUUCGGUUCGGCUCAACCGACCCGGACCCUGAUUCGACUGAUAUCAGAAUUACCUGAUAUGACCUGUUUCCAUACCGAAGAGAUAGUUUGAAGAAAGGGACUGUGAUGAUCCAACACCAUACCUUCUUGCUGUAUGGUAUCCAGAACAUGCAGAAAACAGAGCAUGUAUGGCAGCUAACAGUAAUCAAGAGGAAACCGUUAAAGCAACCAUCUUGAAUGGAAGACAUAGUUGUUGACUGGUACCAUCGGCAACCGUGAGUACUUGCGGAUGUGCGAAGGCAAUAUACCGGAUGUCGUUGUUAGGCCUACUCAACCAUUGGUUUUAUAAUGCACAUAUUGAAUCGUUCACAAACUUUUACUCCUUUAAGCGUUCAACAAAUAGUUGAUUGCUAUGACCAAUACGAAAAUGAGUUAGCAAAAAGGGGGCAUACCACACCGUGUCUUUCGGUACAUAGCCUAUACGAAUCAAGGAAGAGUUUAUAGUGUAGCUGAUUAUCCGAGUAGGGAUGGUAACUAUAUCCGUAAGAGGGAAUGUACAACUGAAACGCUACAACCAACGUUUACAAUUGAUGGAUUCAAUGUGAUUGAGGAUGACGAACCGAAUCUUGAAGCCAUCGUACAGUUACAACCCGAGCGAGACCCGACAUAAUUCUGCAUUUAGUUUAGAUAACCCCAUUAAAACGUGGCCCGACCCAUAAGGUUUAAUAUGAGUUGUAACUAGGGGUGUUUUUCAUGUUUUUAUCGGGUCGGGUUCUUCAAAGAUGGAAAUAUAACCCAAUAAUCGAAUCAUUCUAGAUUUGGGUUUUAUGGUUAUCGGGUUUUAUCGGGCUGGGUUUUUCAGAUUUCGAGUUAAGUAUAUUCUUUUUUUAACUAUAUGCGAAAGGGCUAAAUAAAUAUUACAAGGCUGCAUAUUUAAAAGGUGAAAUAAUAUCCAUGCACAGAACCAAGUUGAUGAAUCGGCUUAAUAGGUAUCUCCAUAACCUAAAGCACACAGAUACCCCACUCAAAAGAUAUCCAAAAUCAGUUGUUUCUUGUGUUUAAUACAAUACCUUGAUCAACUCGAUUAUAAAUCUUCUCGAAGGAUUUGACAUAUCAUUACCCGACAUCACCAGCAUAGGCUCAACCUCUUGAUGGUGGUGCGGAGUAAAUGAAAUAAGGGAAUUUGUGGUCUCGUUGGAUGAAUACCCAUUUUAAUAAGCUCGUCAUGGUGAUCAGUAGCAACUGUCUCCUUGGAAAUUUGGCAUCUUGGGUGGAUAAUCCUUUCUGAUGAGCAAUAAUACUUUGGAAAUAAGCUCCCACUAUAACCCUGCGA